rnacentral:rRNA from 1 species
AGUCAACGCUGGCGGUAGGCCUAACACAUGCAAGUCGAACGGCAGCACAGUAAGAGCUUGCUCUUACGGGUGGCGAGUGGCGGACGGGUGAGGAAUACAUCGGAAUCUACUUUUUCGUGGGGGAUAACGUAGGGAAACUUACGCUAAUACCGCAUACGACCUACGGGUGAAAGCAGGGGAUCUUCGGACCUUGCGCGAUUGAAUGAGCCGAUGUCGGAUUAGCUAGUUGGCGGGGUAAAGGCCCACCAAGGCGACGAUCCGUAGCUGGUCUGAGAGGAUGAUCAGCCACACUGGAACUGAGACACGGUCCAGACUCCUACGGGAGGCAGCAGUGGGGAAUAUUGGACAAUGGGCGCAAGCCUGAUCCAGCCAUACCGCGUGGGUGAAGAAGGCCUUCGGGUUGUAAAGCCCUUUUGUUGGGAAAGGAAAGCAGCAGGUUAAUACCCCGCUGUUCUGACGGUACCCAAAGAAUAAGCACCGGCUAACUUCGUG